rnacentral:rRNA from 1 species
GAUGAACGCUGGCGGCGUGCCUAAUACAUGCAAGUCGAGCGAACAGACGAGGAGCUUGCUCCUCUGACGUUAGCGGCGGACGGGUGAGUAACACGUGGAUAACCUACCUAUAAGCCUGGGAUAACUUCGGGAAACCGGAGCUAAUACCGGAUAAUAUAUUUAACCGCAUGGUUCAAUAGUGAAAGACGGUUUUGCUGUCACUUAUAGAUGGAUCCGCGCCGCAUUAGCUAGUUGGUAAGGUAACGGCUUACCAAGGCAACGAUGCGUAGCCGACCUGAGAGGGUGAUCGGCCACACUGGAACUGAGACACGGUCCAGACUCCUACGGGAGCCAGCAGUAGGGAAUCUUCCGCAAGGAGCGAAAGCCGGACGGGGCAACGCCGCGUGAUUGAUGAAGGUCUUCGGAUCUUAAAACUCUGUUAUUAGGGAAGAACAAAUGUGUAAGUAACUAUGCACGUCUUGACGGUACCUAAUCAGAAAGCCACGGCUAACUACGUG